GGGAAAAACGAACUACGAAUGGCUUGAUCCUCAACCGAGGUACGUAGGCAGCCUUAAACAGGUUCAGCUGUAACAAAACCAAAGUCAAAACCUUACCUAGAUCUCAAUCGAAUAGAUAAUGGCUUUCAUAUCGAAUGGCUCUCGUACCUCCAGCAGAGGAUACGCGGACGCUCACACUCCUUUGCUUACAAGCUAUGUCCUGAUCAGACACUUGGCUCCAGGACCUUAAACAGUCGCAAUUCACCGAUGCCUAAGCAUUGAACCGACUAAACAGAGUGAAUCCUUGCCUUUUCUCGACUAAAAUGUAACGGCUUAGCUACCCGGUUACUUAAUUGUCACUGAGGAAACGGACAGAAGAACCUUCCACUCUUAUACUCAACUCUUUGUUAGCAAAAUUGGACAACUUGUUAUGAGUAGAUGCACCCCCGUGGUCACUUCUACUCGACCGAGUAGAUGCCUUGGAUUUAACUCCAAAUCGAAACAUGAUAACAGCCGAGUAAAACCAAUUACCGGUUCAUCACUUGUCCAUUUGCAAAAGGUUAAUGAUAAAAAUCUGAUGUUUCCAAACACUACAGAUAGGCCGAAAGCACGAAGAAAAAAGAGAGUCUAAAAACACAACAACAAGGUCUGUCAAGACCACAGAAGAAAACAUCCUAUUAUUACAUACAACGAGAUCAAACGACAAUGUCUUGGUCGUCCCUGCUCGGGGCAAGGGGUUCAGCCGUUUCUUCUUCAACGGCUUGAGCGUCAAGGUCUUCAACCUGAGCAGGAGGGUCUGAAGCUGACAAAUCCCGGACCGUCUCUUUGAUAAUUGCCGGCGACGACCUGUUCUCUUCCUCACCC
rnacentral:lncRNA from 1 species